rnacentral:lncRNA from 1 species
GUUUUCUAGUGCCCUAGGGCGCAGCGGAAGAUACAGGAUUAUAAAAUUUUCUUAUAAAACCCAUUAUAUGAAACCCUAAUAAGCCAAGAUCACCUUAAUAGUAUAACCAAAUAAUAUAGAAAAUAUAAUCUUGGUAUAGAAGAAUACCUAUCACGCUAUAUCCAAUAUGUCUGAAGAUGUCCUAAGGUGCCCAAAUGUUCACCCUCCGAUGUUGAUCCACACAGAAAUGGGUUCAAGACUCUAGCUCCACCAAAACUUGAUUCUAAUUGUUCAAUCCUUCCAAAGAAUUUAAUUGGCUGAUUUUCCUUCACUUCCUUCUUCCUUUCUACUUCUAAAAUAUUCGCUAGCCUUUUUGUCCUAAAGAAGACCCUCUUGUCUUGGGUUAGGACAAAAGAGAGAGGCUUGUAAGAAAGAAGGGAUAAGGGAGAGAGAAGGAGAGACUUUU